rnacentral:rRNA from 1 species
UACGUAGGGGGCGAGCGUUGUCCGGAGUUACUGGGCGUAAAGCGCACGCAGGCGGUCUGUUAAGACAGAUGUGAAAUCCCCGGGCUUAACCUGGGAACUGCAUUUGUGACUGGCGGACUCGAGUAUGGCAGAGGGGGGUAGAAUUCCACGUGUAGCAGUGAAGUGCGUAGAGAUGUGGAGGAAUACCGAUGGCGAAGGCAGCCCCCUGGGCCAAUACUGACGCUCAUGCACGAAGGCGUGGGGAGCAAACAGG